GCCGGUAAUAGCGGGCCAGGUCCACCGCGAUCGCGUCCGCCGGGUCCGCCGAGGACGGGACGAAGCACGGAUAGCGGUUCCAGGCCGCGUACUGGCC
rnacentral:tRNA from 1 species